UCGGUGCAGAUAUGAGACCAACAAAAUGUUGCAAGACUAGCUACGCAAGUACCACAUCACUGUCCGUUGAGUCCUAUUUAUACUCUCUCCGAGCAUCACAUGUUGCCUCAGCAAGACACCACAGGAGUCUGCAUCAUGUGACACGACCAGAAACUUCCACUUCACAGGAGGAGCGGACUCUUGCCAGCCAGCUAGCGAGUGGCUGGUUGGCACUUCCUUUGGAGUCAAGCCAGCAACAUGUUAUACUCCAUGUACCUCGUCACAAGCAGGACCCCAAAGCAGAAGAACCAGAUGAGAUCUCUGUUUGUCAGUGUUGGUUCGGCACUCCUGGGUUCAAGUGGACAUCUUGCCUUAGCAUCCCAGCUACCUGCAGAUCUGGACAUAGAACUCUCAUCUACCUCUUCAGCACAUCUGCCUGCACAGCACCAUGCUUCCUGCCCUGAUGACUAUGGACUAAACCUCUGAACUGUAAA
rnacentral:sRNA from 1 species